CCUACGGGUGGCAGCAGUGAGGAAUAUUGGUCAAUGGCCGGAAGUCUGAACCAGCCAAGCCGCGUGAAGGACGAAGGUGCCAAGCAUUGUAAACUUCUUUUGUCAAGGGACAAAAUCAGGCUCGAGAGCCUGACCGAGGGUACUUUAAGAAAAAGCAUCGGCUAACUCCGUGCCAGCAGCCGCGGUAAUACGGAGGAUGCGAGCGUUAUCCGGAUUUAUUGGGUUUAAAGGGUGCGUAGGCGGGCUGUUAAGUCAGCGGUAAAAGCCCGGGGCUCAACCCCGGCGAGCCGUUGAAACUGGCUGUCUUGAGAUGUCGAGAGGUAUGCGGAAUGCGCAGUGUAGCGGUGAAAUGCUUAGAUAUUGCGCAGAACUCCGAUUGCGAAGGCAGCAUACCGGCGGCGAUCUGACGCUGAGGCACGAAAGCGUGGGUAUCGAACAGGAUUAGAUACCCCUGUAGUC
rnacentral:rRNA from 1 species